rnacentral:rRNA from 1 species
AGAGCGAACGCUGGCGGCAGGCCUAACACAUGCAAGUCGAGCGCCCGUAGCAAUACGGGAGCGGCAGACGGGAGAGUAACACGUGGGAACGCGCCCUUCGGUUCGGAAUAACUCAGGGAAACUUGAGCUAAUACCGGAUACGCCCUUACGGGGAAAGAUUUAUUGCCGAAGGAACGGCCCGCGUCCGAUUAGCUAGUUGGUGAGGUAAUGGCUCACCAAGGCGACGAUCGGUAGCUGGUCUGAGAGGAUGACCAGCCUCACUGGGACUGAGACACGGCCCAGACUCCUACGGGAGGCAGCAGUGGGGAAUAUUGGACAAUGGGCGCAAGCCUGAUCCAGCCAUGCCGCGUGAGUGAUGAAGGCCUUAGGGUUGUAAAGCUCUUUUAGCAGGGAAGAUAAUGACGGUACCUGCAGAAAAGCCCGGCUAACUUCGUGCCAGCAGCCGC